rnacentral:rRNA from 1 species
GAUGAACGCUGGCGGCGUGCCUAAUACAUGCAAGUCGAGCGAACAGACGAGGAGCUUGCUCCUCUGACGUUAGCGGCGGACGGGUGAGUAACACGUGGAUAACCUACCUAUAAGACUGGGAUAACUUCGGGAAACCGGAGCUAAUACCGGAUAAUAUAUUGAACCGCAUGGUUCAAUAGUGAAAGACGGUUUUGCUGUCACUUAUAGAUGGAUCCGCGCCGCAUUAGCUAGUUGGUAAGGUAACGGCUUACCAAGGCAACGAUGCGUAGCCGACCUGAGAGGGUGAUGAGCGACACUGGAGGUGACACCAGCACCAGACUCCAACGGGAGGCAGCAGGAGGGAGUGGUCUGCGAUGGGCUAAGGCCUGAAAGAGUAAGGUCGAGGGGGUGAUGAAGGUUUUCAGAUCCUAUGAAUGUCUUAAGAGGGAAGAACAAAAAUGCAAGUACCAACUCAGGUCCAGAAGGUGCCGUAACAGACCGGCAAGACUAGUUCCAUC